GGAGAUCCCAGCUACUAGAGGACGCCCGUUCCAAUGGCAACUCUGCCAAGGCGCCUAUGAGAGCCUCUUGGCUUUUACCUGGUCUGCGAGAAAUCAAACUUUGGGCACAAGUCAUGAAGCCGACAAGCCCGGGAGACACAGUGUCAGAAUUACAAGGUGAGAUCAGCCGCCCGGCCAAGCUAUCUUCUCGCUAGCAGGAACACUACAAGGCCUGUUAGAGAAGAAAGGGUAGAAUCCCGAGAAUGUUUUCCCCACAGUGCUGAUAAGGAGAGACCACUAUCCCAUCUACUGCUACAGCUCUGGAGACAGAGCUCUCCCACCUGUCAUAUAGAACACAAGGACCAAUCUGCAGAGAAAGAGCAUCCAAACCUGAUCCAGUGGACACUGGGGAAAAACUCACCACAGCUGAGUGUGGAAAAACAAGGCCAACACACACAUCUCUGCACAGAUACAUCUCCCAUAAAGAAACUAAAGUGUUAAUUUACAGGGCACUGUUGCAGACCCACUUCAGCUGGAAGCUAGGAACAUGGACAAGGAGCCUCUCUACCACCAAGGGAGAGAGAGGAAUGUGCUCUUGUCCUGGCAUUGCAUCCACAGGAGGGGCAGGAAAUUCUUUGAAGGUCUCGCAUCUGGGGCUCGAUCUCGUGCAGAGGAGCAUUUCCGAAGACACUGGCCGCUCCCACAAUGGCUCCGAAGAACCCAGCGACCAGCGGGUUCAUGAGUUUGUUGGGGCUGUCCACUCGGUACCAGCUGCGCAGGGAUGUCAGGACAAAGAAACAAGUUGCCUGGUUCCAGCCCUGCUUCAGCACGGGGCCUGUGGGGCCCCGGUAAGUCCCGGUGUUCCCGCACAAUCUCCUAACCCUGUGGAAGAAUCCCCUGUACUUGGAUUUGGAGAGGUCUGGCCAUGGAUUAACUUCACCUUGAUGGUCUCCAUGGGACAUAGGACCACCACGGCCUCGGCCACGCUAGCUCACUGGCCGCACCGCUGCCCGCCUUGCUGUUCACCAGUCCCUGGGCAUCCCGCAUCUGGUUGCUGAGGAACGCCUGACGCCGCCUUGUGGAUGAAGCCGCAGAGCAGGGAGCUGAGGCUGCGGCCCAGGCCCAGGCUGCCUUGGCUGCGACUGUGUGCCUGCAGGCCCCAUGCCCGGUAUCCGGUGGAUGCGAGUGCUAGUCCAGCUGCAGCUGCAUCUUCACGAACUCGGUGGGGAACGGGAUGCAGAUUUUUUUUUUCUUUUCCUUCCUUCCUUCCUUCCUUCCAACUUCCUUCCUUCCUUCCCCUUUCUUUCUUUCUUUUUUUUUUUUUUUUUUUUUUGACAGAAUUUUGCUCUUGUCCCCCAGGCUGGAGUGCAGUGGCGCGAUCUUGGCUCACUACAACCUGGAUUCAAGCGAUUCUCCUGCCUCAGCCUCCCGAGUAGCUGGGAUUACAGGCAUGUGCCACCAUUCCCGGCUAAUUUUUUUGUCUUUUUAGUAGAGACGGUGUUUCCCCAUGUUGGUCAGGCUGGUCUCAAACGCCUGACUCAGAUGAUCCGCCCGCCUCGGCCACCCAAAGUGCUGAGAUUACAGGCUUGAACCACCGCGCCUGGCCCUGUGAUGUAGAUUUUGAUGCUGCCAGCCAGGCUGCCUGCCGGGAUCGCCUGCCCUGGAGCAGGAGCAUCAGCCGUGCGUUCCAGGACGCAGGCAUGGCAUGACCGGCAGGAGGCGGAGUGCCCGGCGUCUCUUGGGAUCGGAGCCUCCUGAAUUCCACGCUGGGACCUUAAUUUGGUUUUAACACAAAUAAAGAUCUCACAUAAAGAUAAAAGGGGAUGUGUUGGCUUGUAAUUUUUGUUAAAAGCAAUGGUAUAUGUUGUAUAGGAUAGUGUAUUGGGAUCAACAGGUUUUUGGGGUUUUUUUUCAGCCCACUGACAUUGAAAGGGAUAAACAGUUUUUUGGUUAUUAGUGAGCAGUUUUCUCUCAGGCCAUAGUGUAGGGGUUUGUGGUCAUGUAGAUGAGAGAUAGGCUGGGAUUAAAAUUUGUUAUGGCAGUAAUAAGAGCAACAGAGCUAGACUCUGUCAAAAAAAAAAAAAACAUAGUUAGUAGAAGAAAAAAAUCAUAGGAUUAUAGGAUUAGAGCAGAAAAAAAUAAAACAAAAACUACAAAAGAUUAAUGAAAAUAUUUGGCCUUUUAGAAAAGUUAAAAAUUGGCAAACCUUCAGCAGACUAAACAUUUUUUUUUUAAUUCAAAUAAAAAAACGAGUUAAAAAAGGAGAUAUUACAACAGAUAACACACAAAUUCAAAGAUUGGUUUGUGGCUACUAUAAGCAACUGUAUGCCAAUACAUUGGAAAAUCUAAAAAAAAAAAAAAAAUAGACAAACUCCUAGAGACAUACAACCUACCAAGAUUAAACAGUAAAGAAAUCCAAAACCUAAACAGACCAAUAACAAUUAAUGAGAUUGAAGCUUUAAUAAAAAAACUCUUCCAGGAAAGAACAGCCCAGGACCUGAUGGCUUCAUUACUGAAUUUUACCAAACAUUUCAAGAAGUAAUACCAAUUCCUAUUCAAACUAUUCUGAAAAAUAAGGAGGAGGGAAUACUUUCAAACUCAUUCUAUGAGGCCAGUUUUACCCUGAUAUCAAAACCAGACAAAGAUACAUCAAAAAAAGGAAACUGCAGGCCAAUAUCUCUGAUAAAUACUGAUGCAAAAAUCUCAACAAAAUACUAGCAAACAGAAUUCAACAAUACAUUAAAAAGAUUAUUCAUUAUGACCAAGUGGGGUGUAUCCCUGGGAUGCAAACAUAGUUUAAUAUACACAAAUCAAUAAAUGUGAUAUGUCAUAUCACCAGAAUGAGGAAAACAGCGUGGUACUAGCAUAAGAACAAACACAUAGACCAGUGAAAAAGGAUAGAGAACCCAGCAACAAAUCCACACAUUUACAGAAAACUCAUUUUUGACAAAGAUAUCAAGAACAUACAGUGGGGCAAAGACAGUCUCUUCAAUAAAUGGUGCUGGGGAAACUGGAUAUCCAUAUGCAAAAGAAUAAAACUGGAUUCCUAUCUCCCACCAUAUCCAAAAACAAAUCAAAAUUAAUUAAACAUGUGAAUAUAAGACCUCAAAUUAUAUAAAACUACUAUAUAUAAAAAAGUUGUGAAAAAUUUUCAGGACAUCAGUAUGGGCAAAAAUUUCUUGAGUAAUACCCCACAACCAUAGGCAACCUAAGCAAAAAUAGACAAAUGGAAUCAGAUCAAGGUGAAAAGCUUCUGCACAGCUAAGGAAACAAUCCACAAAGAGAAGAGACAACCCACAGAAUGGGAGAAAAUACUUGCAAACCACUCAACUGACAAGUUAAUAAUCAGAAUAUAGAAAGAGCUCAAACAAGUCUAUAGAAAAACAUCUAAUAAUUCAAUUAAAAUAUUGGCAAAAGAUUUGAAGAGGCAUUUCUCUAAAGAAAGCAUACAAAUGGGAAACAGGCAUAUAAAAGUUGAACCUCAGAGAAAUGCAAAUCAGAACUACAGUGAGAUAUUAUCUCACCCCAGUUGAAAUGUCUUAUAUCCAAAAGACAGACAUUAACAAAUGCUGACGAGGAUGUGGAGAAAAGGGAACUUUUGUGCACUGUUGGUGGUAAUGUAAGUUAGUACAACCACUAUAAAAAAAACAUUUUGAAGGUUUCUUAAAAAACUAAAAGUGAGCUACCAUAGCUACCAUGCAACCCAGCAAUCCCAGUACUGGGUAUAUACCCAAAAGAAAGAAAAUCAGCUUGUUGCUUCACUGUUUACAAUAGCUAUGAUUUGAAAGCAAACUGUCUACCAACAGAUGAAUGGAUUAAAAAAAAUGUAGCACAUAUAUACAAUGGAGUAGUAUUCAGCCAUAAAAAUGAGAUUUUGUCUUUUGCAACAAUGUGGAUAAAAGUGGAGAGUAUGUUAAGUGAAAUAAGUCAGACACAGAAAGACAAACUUGGCAUGUUCUCACUUACCUGUGGGAUCUAAAAAUCAAAACAAUUGAACCCAUGGACGUGGAGAGAAGAGGUUAGUUUUCUUAACCUCUUUGAGAGGUUAAGCAAGAUAGUAGGGGCUGGCGGAAAGGUGGGGACUGUUAAUGGGUACAAUAAAUAGAAUAAAUAUAACCUACUAUUUGGUAGCACAAGAUGACUAUAGUCAAUAAUAAUUUAAUUGUACAUUUUAUUUUAUAUUUUAUAUUUUAUUUUAUAUAUUUUAUUUUAUUGAGGUAGAGUCUUGCUCUUGUCACCCAGGCUGGAGUGCAAUGGUGCAGUCUUGUCUCACUGCAACCUUUGCCUCCCAGGUUUAAGCAAUUCUCCUGCCUCAGCCUCCUGAGUGGCUGGGAUUGCAGCCACCUGCCACCAUGCCCAGCUAAUUUUUUGUAUUUUUAGUAGAGAUGGGUUUUCACCACAUGCCCAGCCAAUUGCACAUUUUAAACUAAGAGAGAAUAAUUAGACUGUAAGACAAAAAAUAAAUGCUUAAGUGGGGGAGGGUGUAUCCCAUUCUCUAUGAUGGGAGUAUUAUGUAUUUCAUGCCUGUAUCAAAACAUCUCAUUUAUCCCCAUAAAUAUAUACACCUACUGUGUACCCACAAAAGUUAAAUAAAUUAAAUUUAAAAAAUUAAAAAAUAAAAUAGCAUAGAAUUAAGUAGGCCCAGAAAUAUGAGGAUUUUAAUGAAAUGAUAAUACCUAAGUAAUAAUCAAUCAAGAAGUAAAAACAAAGUCAUACUUCACUCCCAUUUUUGUUUCUAAUCUAUAUGUUUUCUACUUUAAAGCUGUAGAAUUUUCUUUUUUUCAUUGCUAAUUAUAUUUUAAUGUGACUAGUCUGGGUCUAUUUUUUCUAAAAUUUUCAGUUUUUCUAUAUAAUUUUUCUCUAACUUUUAGUUUCUUUGUUUAUGCCCCUUAUAUUUUUGAGAAGUGUCUAUUCAGAUUUUUGCCCAUUUUAAAACUGGAUUAUUUAAUUAUUUUCUAUUGAGUUUUUUGUUUCUUUUGUAUUCUGCUUAUCAAUCGCUUGUCGGAUGUGUAGCUUGCACAUAUUUUCUCUCUUAUCUCUUUUUUCUUUUUGAGACAGAGUCUCUCUCAUCACCCAGCCUAGUGUGCAGUGGCACGAUCUCAGCUCACUGCAACCUCUGCCUCCCAGAUUCAAGCGAUUCUCCUGCCUCAGCCUCCCAAGUAGCUGGGAUUACAGGCGUGUGUCACUGCGCCCAGCUAAUUUUUGUAUUUUUAGUAGAAACAGGGUUUCUCCAUGCUGGCCAGGCUGGUCUUAAACUCCUGACCUCAGGUGAUUCACCUACCUCGGCCUCGCAUAGUGCUGGGAUUACAGGCAUAAGCCACCAUGCCCAGCCUUAUUUUCUCUCAUUUUAGGAAUUGUCUCUUCAUUUUAUUGAUUGUUUCCUUUGCUGUGCAGAAGUUUUUUGUAUGAUGUGAUCUCAUUUGUACAUUUUACUCUCAUUCCCUGUGCUUUUGAAACAUUAUUUAAAAAUCUUUGCUCAGAUCAAUAACCCGCAGUGUUUUUCUAAGGUUUUUUUGUGGUAGUUUUAUAGUUUCACGUAUUCGAUUUAAGUAUUUAAUCCAUUUCUAUUUGAUUUUUGUAUGGAGUGAGAGAUAGGGGUCUAGUCUUAUUCUUCUACCUAUGGAUAUUCAGUUUUCCCAGCAUCAUUUACAGAAAAGACCAUCAUUUAUCCAGUGUAUGUUAUUGGUGUCUUUGUCAAAAAUGAGUUCACUACAAAUGUAUGAAUUUUCUUCUGGAUUCACUAUUCUGUUCUAUUGGUCUACAUGUCUGUUUUAAUGUCAGUACCAUGCUGUUUUGGUUAGUAUAUCUUUACAGACUAUUUUGAAGCCAAGUAGUGUGGUGGUUCCAGUUUUGUUUGGUUUUGCUUUUGCUUAAGAUGCCUUUGAAUAUUCUUUUAUGUGGUUUUAUAUAAAUAUUAGAAUUUUGUUUCUACUUCUGUGAAGAAUGUCAUUGGUAUUUUGAUGGGAUUGCAUUAAAUCUGUAAAUUGAUUUGGCAGUAUGAACAUUUUAACAACAUUGAUUAUUUUAUUUCAUGCAAUAUAAAAUACCUUUUCAUUUUGUUUCAUCUUCUUUAAUUUCUUUAAUUUAUAUUUUACAGAUUCAUUAUAGAAAUCUUUCCCUUAUUUAGUUGUUUAUUCCUACUUAUUUGUAAGUAUUGUAAAGAAAAUUUUUUUUCAGAAUGAUUUCUAUUGGGAUAUAGAAAUGCUACUAAUUUUUGUAUGUUGGUUUUCUAUCCUGCAUUAUUACUUAAUUUCAAAUCUCUCUUUAAAAUACAUUUUAUAAGAAAGAAAGAAAUAAAAUUCAUAGAAAA
rnacentral:lncRNA from 1 species